AUUGAACGCUGGCGGCAGGCCUAACACAUGCAAGUCGAGCGGUAACAGGAAAUAGCUUGCUAUUUUGCUGACGAGCGGCGGACGGGUGAGUAACGCGCAGGAAUUUGCCCAGUAGUGGGGGAUAGCCCGGAGAAAUUCGGAUUAAUACCGCAUACGCCCUAAGGGGGAAAGCAGGGGAUCUUCGGACCUUGCGCUAUUGGAUAAGCCUGCGUGAGAUUAGCUAGUUGGUGAGGUAAGGGCUCACCAAGGCGACGAUCUCUAGCUGGUCUGAGAGGAUGAUCAGCCACACUGGAACUGAGACACGGUCCAGACUCCUACGGGAGGCAGCAGUGGGGAAUAUUGCACAAUGGGCGAAAGCCUGAUGCAGCCAUGCCGCGUGUGUGAAGAAGGCUCUAGGGUUGUAAAGCACUUUCAGUAGGGAGGAAAGUCGAUAGUUAAUACCUAUCGGCCGUGACGUUACCUACAGAAGAAGCACCGGCUAACUCCG
rnacentral:rRNA from 1 species